UACGUAGGGUGCAAGCGUUGUCCGGAAUUAUUGGGCGUAAAAGAGCUCGUAGGCGGUCUGUCGCGUCGGCUGUGAAAUCCCGGAGCUCAACUCCGGGUCUGCAGUCGAUACGGGCAAACUGGAGUACUGCAGGGGAGACUGGAAUUCCUGGUGUAGCGGUGAAAUGCGCAGAUAUCAGGAGGAACACCAGUGGCGAAGGCGGGUCUCUGGGGCAGUAACUGACGCUGAGGAGCGAAAGCGUGGGGAGCGAACAGG
rnacentral:rRNA from 1 species